rnacentral:rRNA from 1 species
UCCUACGGGAGGCAGCAGUAAGGAAUAUUCCACAAUGAGCGAAAGCUUGAUGGAGCGACACAGAGUGCAGGAUGAAGUCUUUAGGGAUGUAAACUGCUGUUGUAAGGGAAGAAAAAACUAGAUAGGAAAUGAUUUAGUCUUGACGGUACCUUAUUAGAAAGUGACGGCAAACUAUGUGCCAGCAGCCGCGGUAAUACAUAGGUCGCAAGCGUUAUCCGGAAUUAUUGGGCGUAAAGCGUCCGCAGGUUUUUUGUUAAGUUUAAGGUUAAAUGCUAAAGCUCAACUUUAGUUCGCUUUAGAUACUGACAAAAUAGAAUUAUGAAGAGGUUAGCGGAAUUCCUAGUGGAGCGGUGGAAUGCGUAGAUAUUAGGAAGAACACCAAUAGGCGAAGGCAGCUAACUGGUCAUAUAUUGACACUAAUGGACGAAAGCGUGGGGAGCAAACAGGAUUAGAUACCCUGGUAGUCC